CCCUUAGAUGUUCUGGGCCGCACACGCGCUACACUGGCAGGUUCAUCGAGCUUCAUGCCCUGAUCUGAGAAGAACGGGAAAUCUUUGAGCACCUGCCGUGCUUGGGAUAGAUGUUUGCAAUUAUUCAUCUUCAACGAGGAUUGCCUUGUAAGCGCACGUCAUCAGCGUGCAUUGAAUACGACCCUGUAUUCUGUACACACCGCCCGUCGCUCCUACCGAUUGAAGUUUUCGGUGAAUUUACUGGAGAUCCCUUUUGAAGGUGGUUCGCCACUGGAAGAAGUAUUCAAAAGUAAAUGAAUCGAAUGCUUUAGAGGAAGGAGAAGUCGUAACA
rnacentral:rRNA from 1 species